rnacentral:rRNA from 1 species
UACGAAGGGGGCUAGCGUUGCUCGGAAUCACUGGGCGUAAAGGGUGCGUAGGCGGGUCUUUAAGUCAGGGGUGAAAUCCUGGAGCUCAACUCCAGAACUGCCUUUGAUACUGAAGAUCUUGAGUUCGGGAGAGGUGAGUGGAACUGCGAGUGUAGAGGUGAAAUUCGUAGAUAUUCGCAAGAACACCAGUGGCGAAGGCAGCUUACUACAGGAUGAUUGACGCUGAGGCACGAAAGCGUGGGGAGCAAACAGG